rnacentral:rRNA from 1 species
UACGAAGGGGGCUAGCGUUGCUCGGAAUCACUGGGCGUAAAGGGUGCGUAGGCGGGUCUUUAAGUCUGGGGUGAAAUCCUGGAGCUCAACUCCAGAACUGCCUUUGAUACUGAGGAUCUUGAGUUCGGGAGAGGUGAGUGGAACUGCGAGUGUAGAGGUGAAAUUCGUAGAUAUUCGCAAGAACACCAGUGGCGAAGGCGGCUCACUGGCCCGAUACUGACGCUGAGUGAGCGAAAGCCAGGGGAGCAAACGGG